rfam:Roseburia sp. CAG:303 genomic scaffold, scf126
CGGGGCGUAGCACAGCUUGGUAGUGCGCUGCGUUCGGGACGCAGAGGUCGCAAGUUCAAAUCUUGUCGCCCCGA